AGGCACUCAAAGUCAGUACUGCUCCCAUUGAACCACCGUGCGCCUAAGUAUGGAGCCUCAGAUUGAUGAGGAGUUAGAGGUCUUGGACCCCGGUCCGCGUCAGAGGUCAUUGUUGACACGACAGCCAUAUCAUCGAUCAGAGGCCAUUUGGAAUGGCGAGGACUCGGGCCCACUUACGUGCCGUGGUCGCAC